UAUGCUUUUCCCCAGGCUCUGACAUUCAGGGUUUGGAACUGCUGGGUAGAUUGCAAAUCAGCUUGUCUCGGCCUGAACUGCUGCUGUGCACUUUGAAAGAAUGGAUUCUGGUUACUUGUGUGACUUCAAAGUCAAGCGUUGGGGAAGAGGAUUUCUUCUGAUUGCCAGUAACAAAGCAGCAGUAUAUCUCAACUUCAGCCGCAUUCAGACAUGAGGAUCUCCACUCCCAGAAUUCUCAAGGGACGUCCUUUGCAUGUUUCUAUGUAAUAUGUCUCUGCUUACUUUCGUCACUUACAGAUCAUUUAUAAAGAAGGCGAAGAGCACUGGGGCCAAGACAGAACCACUGCAUGCUUCUCUCCAUG